UACGGAGGGUGCGAGCGUUGUCCGGAAUCACUGGGCGUAAAGGGCGCGUAGGCGGCCUGAUAAGUAGGGGGUGAAAUCCUGCGGCUUAACCGCAGGGCUGCCUUCUAAACUGUCAGGCUGGAGCACAGUAGAGGCAGGUGGAAUUCCCGGUGUAGCGGUGGAAUGCGUAGAGAUCGGGAAGAACAUCAGUGGCGAAGGCGGCCUGCUGGGCUGUUGCUGACGCUCAGGGGCGAAAGCGUGGGGAGCAAACCGG
rnacentral:rRNA from 1 species